CUUAAACUUUUUUUUUAAAAAUGGUUCGAAAGCGAAAAGCGGAAGAGUCAGUUGGGAGAUCAGCCAGAAGAACGAGACGGUAUGAUUCUGGGGGUAUGUAUCGUCCAGAGAAAAUCAAAAGCAAACAAUCAAAUAGAAAUUCAAUUCCAUGGCCCUCAAAUGUCAAUCAGUCGCCACGGGAAGGCGGUAACCGUGCACGGAAACAAAUCCGUGGAACCGACUUACCACAACAAGUGAGUGAAGCAGCUUUCCGUCGGGAGACCCAAAAGAAACAGCAAACUGCUCGCCAAGCAAGAAGAAGAGGCAGUAUGACGUCCGCACAACGACAAUCCAAAAAGCGCCGUGACCGGGAGGCCGCUGCCCGCAGACGAGAAAGGGAACAUCAUCAAGGCGAUGCCGCAGCUCACGAUCGCACACGGCAACUCAAUAAUAUCAUGAAAAUGUUUGCCCGAUACCUAGUCGUGGAUGUGAACAUACCCCUAUCCAACAAUCGUUACUUACCAAGCAUUCGUCUGCAGCUGCAGGCUUGAAAUGCGGUAAUUCCCGUAACGACAAUUACCCAUCUCAGAUUGCUGCAUAACUCCAGUGGUUCGGAGACUCAGAAUUCCUUCUACGAUUACCGUUUUUCGGAGGAACUUGUUUGGCCUAAAAGAUUAGAACUCCUUGGUUAACGAAACCAUUAGUAGCUGCACCGUUGACGAACACCUUAAAGUCUCAACGUAUAUACCACCUACUCCAUGGCAGAAAGAAUAAAAUAAGCUUCUAUUUCGGAAAUGAUAUUCAUUGUUUUUCUACCUCCACGUUUUGAUUUAAACUGAAUUAUCUUGGCUCGCUGAAAUU